CCUACGGGAGGCAGCAGUGGGGAAUUUUGGACAAUGGGCGCAAGCCUGAUCCAGCAAUGCCGCGUGAGUGAAGAAGGCCUUCGGGUUGUAAAGCUCUUUUGUCAGGGAAGAAACGGCUGAGGAUAAUACCUUCGGCUAAUGACGGUACCUGAAGAAUAAGCACCGGCUAACUACGUGCCAGCAGCCGCGGUAAUACGUAGGGUGCAAGCGUUAAUCGGAAUUACUGGGCGUAAAGCGUGCGCAGGCGGUUUUGUAAGUCUGUCGUGAAAGCCCCGGGCUCAACCUGGGAAUUGCGAUGGAGACUGCAAGGCUUGAAUCUGGCAGAGGGGGGUAGAAUUCCACGUGUAGCAGUGAAAUGCGUAGAGAUGUGGAGGAACACCGAUGGCGAAGGCAGCCCCCUGGGUCAAGAUUGACGCUCAUGCACGAAAGCGUGGGGAGCAAACAGGAUUAGAUACCCUGGUAGUCCACGCCCUAAACGAUGUCUACUAGUUGUCGGGUUUUAAUUAACUUGGUAACGCAGCUAACGCGUGAAGUAGACCGCCUGGGGAUACGGUCGCAAGNUUAAAACUCAAAGAGUAGUGACGNGNGAGAGACGACGACGACGACGACGGAGGAGGAGG
rnacentral:rRNA from 1 species